UAGGGAAUCUUCCACAAUGGACGCAAGUCUGAUGGAGCAACGCCGCGUGAGUGAAGAAGGUUUUCGGACCGUAAAGCUCUGUUGUUGGUGAAGAAGGAUAGAGGUAGUAACUGGCCUUUAUUUGACGGUAAUCAACCAGAAAGUCACGGCUAACUACGUGCCAGCAGCCGCGGUAAUCGUAGGUGGCAAGCGUUGUCCGGAUUUAUUGGGCGUAAAGCGAGCGCAGGCGGAAGAAUAAGUCUGAUGUGAAAGCCCUCGGCUUAACCGAGGAAUUGCAUCGGAAACUGUUUUCUUGAGUGCAGAAGAGGAGAGUAGAACUCCAUGUGUAGCGGUGGAAUGCGUAGAUAUAUGGAAGAAUACCAGUGGCGAAGGCGGCUCUCUGGUCUGCAACUGACGCUGAGGCUCGAAAGCAUGGUAGCGAACAGGAUUAGAUACCCUGGUAGUCCAUGCCGUAAACGAUGAGUGCUAAGUGUUGGGAGGCUUCCGCCUCUCAGUGCUGCAGCUAACGCAUUAAGCACUCCGCCUGGGGAGUACGACCGCAAGGUUGAAAC
rnacentral:rRNA from 1 species